rnacentral:rRNA from 1 species
UGCGCAGGCGGGAACGUAAGUGCUUUGUGAAAGCCCAUGGCUCAACCAUGGAAGUGCUUGGCAAACUACGUUUCUUGAGGUCGGUAGAGGCUGUCGGAACUGUAGGUGUAGCGGUGAAAUGCGUAGAUAUCUACAGGAACACCAAAGACGAAGGUGGGCAGCUGGGCCGAUUCUGACGCUGAGGCACGAAAGCGUGGGUAGCGAACAGGAUUAGAUACCCUGGUAGUCC